rnacentral:rRNA from 1 species
AGUCGAGCGGCAGCGACAUCAACAAUCCUUCGGGUGCGUUGAUGGGCGGCGAGCGGCGGACGGGUGAGUAAUGCCUGGGAACAUGCCUUAGUGUGGGGGAUAACCAUUGGAAACGAUGGCUAAUACCGCAUAAUGUCUUCGGACCAAAGCGGGGGACCUUCGGGCCUCGCGCGCUAAGAUUGGCCCAGGUGGGAUUAGCUAGUAGGUGGGGUAACGGCUCACCUAGGCGACGAUCCCUAGCUGGUCUGAGAGGAUGAUCAGCCACACUGGAACUGAGACACGGUCCAGACUCCUACGGGAGGCAGCAGUGGGGAAUAUUGCACAAUGGGGGAAACCCUGAUGCAGCCAUGCCGCGUGUGUGAAGAAGGCCUUCGGGUUGUAAAGCACUUUCAGCAGUGAGGAAGAGGUGGUGUUUAAUAGAUGCCAUCUUUGACGUUAGCUGCAGAAGAAGCACCGGCUAACUCCGUGCCAGCCG